rnacentral:rRNA from 1 species
ACCUACGGGACGCAGCAGUGGGGAAUAUUGCACAAUGGGGGAAACCCUGAUGCAGCGACGCCGCGUGAGUGAAGAAGUAUUUCGGUAUGUAAAGCUCUAUCAGCAGGGAAGAAGCAAGACGGUACCUGACUAAGAAGCCCCGGCUAACUACGUGCCAGCAGCCGCGGUAAUACGUAGGGGGCAAGCGUUAUCCGGAAUUACUGGGUGUAAAGGGAGCGCAGACGGCAGUGCAAGUCUGGAGUGAAAGCCCGUGGCUUAACCACGGGACUGCUCUGGAAACUGUGCAGCUAGAGUGCAGGAGAGGC